rnacentral:rRNA from 1 species
UACGUAGGGUGCAAGCGUUGUCCGGAAUUAUUGGGCGUAAAGAGCUCGUAGGCGGUCUGUCGCGUCGGACGUGAAAACCCAGGGCUCAACCCUGGGCCUGCGUUCGAUACGGGCAGACUAGAGUUCGGUAGGGGAGACUGGAAUUCCUGGUGUAGCGGUGAAAUGCGCAGAUAUCAGGAGGAACACCAAUGGCGAAGGCAGCUCUCUGGGACGGUACUGACGCUGAGACGCGAAAGCGUGGGGAGCGAACAGG